rnacentral:rRNA from 1 species
GAUGAACGCUGGCGGCGUGCCUAAUACAUGCAAGUCGAGCGAACAGACGAGGAGCUUGCUCCUCUGACGUUAGCGGCGGACGGGUGAGUAACACGUGGAUAACCUACCUAUAAGACUGGGAUAACUUCGGGAAACCGGAGCUAAUACCGGAUAAUAUAUUGAACCGCAUGGUUCAAUAGUGAAAGACGGUUUUGCUGUCACUUAUAGAUGGAUCCGCGCCGCAUUAGCUAGUUGGUAAGGUAACGGCUUAUCAAGGCAACGAUGCGUAGCCGACCUGAGAGGGUGAUCGGCCACACUGGAACUGAGACACGGUCCAGACUCCUACGGGAGGCAGCAGUAGGGAAUCUUCCGCAAUGGGCGAAAGCCUGACGGAGCAACGCCGCGUGAGUGAUGAAGGUCUUCGGAUCGUAAAACUCUGUUAUUAGGGAAGAACAAAUGUGUAAGUAACUAUGCACGUCUUGACGGUACCUAAUCAGAAAGCCACGGCUAACUACGUGCCAGCAGCCGCAGUAACAC